UACCCUUGUGUCCUCACCUUCCUUCAAAUGUCUGAACCAGUUUUGUGCCACUCCUUCCUUGACAGUUCCUGGGCCUUCCACAUCAUUCAUUUCUUAUACUCA